UUGUGGAUCUAGGCACCGACGGC
rnacentral:piRNA from 1 species